rnacentral:rRNA from 1 species
CGUGGGACCCAAGCGUUAUCCGGAAUUACUGGGCGUAAAGAGUUGCGUAGGUGGCAUAGUAAGUCGGUAGUGAAAGCGUGAGGCUCAACCUCAUAUACAUUACUGAAACUGCUAAGCUAGAGCAUGAGAGAGGUAGCUGGAAUUCCUAGUGUAGGAGUGAAAUCCGUAGAUAUUAGGAGGAACACCGAUGGCGUAGGCAGGCUACUGGCUCAUUGCUGACACUAAGGCACGAAAGCGUGGGGAGCGAACGGGAUUAGAUACCCCGGUAGUCCACGCCGUAAACUAUGGAUGCUAGCUGUUAUCAGUAUCGACCCUGGUAGUAGCGAAGCUAACGCGUUAAGCAUCCGCCUGUGGAGUACGAGCGCAAGCUUA